AGGACGAACGCUGGCGGCGUGCUUAACACAUGCAAGUCGAGCGGUAAGGCCUUUCGGGGUACACGAGCGGCGAACGGGUGAGUAACACGUGAGUAAUCUGCCCUUCACUCUGGGAUAAGCACUCGAAAGGGUGUCUAAUACCGGAUACGACCGUCCCUCGCAUGAGGUGGUGGUGGAAACUUUUGUGGGUGGGGGAUGUGCUCGCGGCCUAUCAGCUUGUCGGUGGGGUAAUGGCCUACCAAGGCUUCGACGGGUAGCCGGCCUGAGAGGGUGACCGGCCACACUGGGACUGAGACACGGCCCAGACUCCUACGGGAGGCAGGCAGUGGGGAAUAUUGGACAAUGGGCGGAAGCCUGAUCCAGCAACGCCGCGUGAGGGAUGACGGCCUUCGGGUUGUAAACCUCUUUCAUCAUUGACGAAGCUUCACGUUGAGUGGGUGACGGUAGGUGGAGAAGAAGCACCGGCCAACUACGUGCCAGUAGCCGC
rnacentral:rRNA from 1 species